GAUGAACGCUGGCGGCGUGCCUAAUACAUGCAAGUCGAGCGAACGGACGAGAAGCUUGCUUCUCUGAUGUUAGCGGCGGACGGGUGAGUAACACGUGGAUAACCUACCUAUAAGACUGGGAUAACUUCGGGAAGCCGGAGCUAAUACCGGAUGAUAUUUUGAACCGCAUGGUUCAAAAGUGAAAGACGGUCUUGCUGUCACUUAUAGAUGGAUCCGCGCUGCAUUAGCUAGUUGGUAAGGUAACGGCUUACCAAGGCAACGAUGCAUAGCCGACCUGAGAGGGUGAUCGGCCACACUGGAACUGAGACAAGGUCCAGACUCCUACGGGAGGCAGCAGUAGGGAAUCUUCCGCAAUGGGCGAAAGCCUGACGGAGCAACGCCGCGUGAGUGAUGAAGGUCUUCGGAUCGUAAAACUCUGUUAUUAGGGAAGAACAUAUGUGUAAGUAACUGUGCACAUCUUGACGGUACCUAAUCAGAAAGCCACGGCUAACUACGUG
rnacentral:rRNA from 1 species